rnacentral:misc_RNA from 1 species
CGGUACCUGAAGAAAAAGCAUCGGCUAACUCCGUGCCAGCAGCCGCGGUAAUACGGAGGAUGCAAGCGUUAUCCGGAAUCAUUGGGCGUAAAGGGUCCGCAGGUGGCGAAUAAAGUCUGCUGUUAAAGACCGGGGCUAAACUCCGGAAAGGCAGUGGAAACUGAUUAGCUAGAGUACGGUAGGGGUAGAGGGAAUUCCCAGUGUAGCGGUGAAAUGCGUAGAUAUUGGGAAGAACACCGGUGGCGAAAGCGCUCUACUAGGCCGAAACUGACACUGAGGGACGAAAGCUAGGGUAGCGAAAGGGAUUAGAUACCCCUGUAGUCUUAGCGGUAAACGAUGGAUACUAGGUGUAGCUUGUAUCGACCCGAGCUGUGCCGAAGCUAACGCGAUAAGUAUCCCGCCUGGGGAGUACGCACGCAAGUGUGAAACUCAAAGGAAUUGACGGGGGCCCGCACAAGCGGUGGAGUAUGUGGUUUAAUUCGAUGCAACGCGAAGAACCUUACCAGGGCUUGACAUGUCGCGAAUCUAGCGGAAACGUUAGAGUGCCUUAGGGAAUGCGAACACAGGUGGUGCAUGGCUGUCGUCAGCUCGUGUCGUGAGAUGUUGGGUUAAGUCCCGCAACGAGCGCAACCCUCGUCCUUAGUUGCCAAUAUUAAGUUAGGCACUCUAGGGAGACUGCCGGGGACAACUCGGAGGAAGGUGGGGAUGACGUCAAGUCAGCAUGCCCCUUACGUCCUGGGCGACACACGUACUACAAUGGUUGGGACAAAGGGCAGCAAACUCGCGAGAGUAAGCGAAUCUCAUCAAACCCAGCCACAGUUCAGAUUGUAGGCUGCAACUCGCCUGCAUGAAGUAGGAAUCGCUAGUAAUCGCAGGUCAGCAUACUGCGGUGAAUUCGUUCCCGGGCCUUGUACACACCGCCCGUCACACCAUGGAAGCUGGCUACGCCCGAAGUCGUUACCCUAACCCGGUUUUGGGAGGGGGAUGCCGAAGGUAGAGCUAGUGACUGGGGUGAAGUCGUAACAAGGUAGCCGUACCGGAAGGUGUGGCUGGAUCACCUCCUUUACAGGGAGACCUAGUCUAAUUACCAAUAGAUAAAAAAGUUGGUAAUUUGCAAGAAUCCUUAGGUCGUGAGGGGAGCAAGAAAAAACUUUCAAACUGUAAUGGGUGAGGGUCAAUGGGCUAUUAGCUCAGGUGGUUAGAGCGCACCCCUGAUAAGGGUGAGGUCCCUGGUUCAAGUCCAGGAUGGCCCACCUAAAAUACACAGGCAUCCUGCCUGUGCCACAAAAAAAGGAAAAAGUUUUGGCAUUGUCUCUUGUAAUCAAGAGCAAGAGAUAAUGCUGGAAUAGAUUCCAGCAAG